rnacentral:lncRNA from 1 species
AUCCCUCAAUGUUCUUGACAUUGCUUUUUUCCCCAUAUACUGUAUUACAUUGAAUAUGUGGGAUUGGUCAGACAUUGUCAAGCAAGAAGAAACGUAAUUGAUUUGAUAAUUAGCAUUAUAUGAGCAGCAAAGAUUAAAGUUGCACACUAUCAAAUUUUCUUAUCUAGGGUGCAUUUACACAUCAAAUUAUUGAUUUAAAAGAUUUAUAUUUUUAAAUAAAUCGUUGGUACUCCUUACAACAAUAAGGAGUGCCAGAUAUCUAAAGUGUCAAAACUUGGCACAUUGGGAUACUUAAGUGCCAAAAAUUAAGAAAAUAACACGUAAAUGACAAAAUCG